rnacentral:rRNA from 1 species
UACGUAGGGUCCGAGCGUUGUCCGGAAUUAUUGGGCGUAAAGGGCUCGUAGGCGGUUUGUCGCGUCGGGAGUGAAAACACGGGGCUUAACCCCGUGCCUGCUUCCGAUACGGGCAGACUAGAGGUAUGCAGGGGAGAACGGAAUUCCUGGUGUAGCGGUGAAAUGCGCAGAUAUCAGGAGGAACACCGGUGGCGAAGGCGGUUCUCUGGGCAUUACCUGACGCUGAGGAGCGAAAGUGUGGGGAGCAAACGGG